rnacentral:rRNA from 1 species
CACGUAGGGCGCAAGCGUUGUCCGGAAUUACUGGGCGUAAAGGGCUCGUAGGCGGCCAACUAAGUCGGACGUGAAAUCCCUCGGCUUAACCGGGGAACUGCGUCCGAUACUGGAUGGCUUGAGUUCGGGAGAGGGAUGCGGAAUUCCAGGUGUAGCGGUGAAAUGCGUAGAUAUCUGGAGGAACACCGGUGGCGAAGGCGGCAUCCUGGACCGACACUGACGCUGAGGAGCGAAAGCCAGGGGAGCAAACGGG